UACGAAGGGGCGAGCGUUGUUCGGAAUUACUGGGCGUAAAGGGCGCGCAGGCGGCUCUGAAAGUCAGAUGUGAAAGCCCCGGGCUUAACCUGGGAACUGCAUUUGAUACUCUGGAGCUUGAGUACGGGAGAGGAUAGUGGAAUUCCCAGUGUAGAGGUGAAAUUCGUAGAUAUUGGGAAGAACACCGGUGGCGAAGGCGGCUAUCUGGACCGUAACUGACGCUGAGGUGCGAAAGCGUGGGGAGCAAACAGG
rnacentral:rRNA from 1 species